CCUACGGGAGGCAGCAGUGGGGAAUCUUGCACAAUGGAGGAAACUCUGAUGCAGCGAUGCCGCGUGAGUGAAGAAGGCCUUUGGGUUGUAAAGCUCUUUUGUAGGGGAAGAUAAUGACUGUACCCUAAGAAUAAGGUCCGGCUAACUUCGUGCCAGCAGCCGCGGUAAUACGAAGGGACCUAGCGUAGUUCGGAAUUACUGGGCGUAAAGCGCGCGUAGGCCGUUGAGUUAGUUAAUUGUGAAAUCCCAAAGCUUAACUUUGGAACUGCAAUUAAAACUGCUCGACUAGAGUUUGAUAGAGGAAAGCGGAAUACAUAGUGUAGAGGUGAAAUUCGUAGAUAUUAUGUAGAACACCAGUUGCGAAGGCGGCUUUCUGGAUCAACACUGACGCUGAGGCGCGAAAGUAUGGGUAGCAAAGAGGAUUAGAUACCCUCGUAGUCCAUACCAUAAACGAUGAUUGCUAGAUGUUGGAAAUUUAUUUUCAGUAUCGCAGCUAACGCAUUAAGCAAUCCGCCUGGGGAGUACGACCGCAAGGUUAAAACUUAAAGGAAUUAGACGAA
rnacentral:rRNA from 1 species